rnacentral:lncRNA from 1 species
CUCGACCAUCGAUUGGUUAUGCCUUAAACUGAUGAGUAAGGAAAAUAACGACGCGGGGUGACGCCCGUGUCCUCGCCUAGAUUUGCGAGAUCAAUUUUUGAACGGGUACAGGUCCGCCUGUUUAGGUGACUCACCUACUUUGUGAGAUGCCUUGCGGGACAUGGAUCUGCCCGACCUCUAAUGUAAAAUAUGAACCUCUUUCAGGAUACUGACACAAGGUUACACAGAACCAGAAUGGAAUUAUAUUUUCCAUGAUUGUAACGUACAAUUUCAGAAAAAUAGAAUGUCAGGAAUCUAUAAUAGUACUUACUGCACCUUCUCCAAAACCUUUUUCAACAUAAAGAACAUCUCUGCCUUCUAUUUCUCUAACCACGUUCCAUCAGCAGUUUUUAUGCGGGUAAUGUCAUACUGUAUCAUUAAAAAAAAAUUAAGACAGAGUAGGCACAUUUGCUAUUUAACAAACAGUUUUAGUGACAAAAUUAUUUGUAGUUGAAAAUGCGAUGAAAACACAUUGAACUUUAGAUUUUUAUUUUACAAUUACAUUUAGUCAUUUAGCAGACGCUCUUAUCUAGAGCGACUUACAAAUUGGUGCCUUCACCUUAUGAUAUCCAGUGGAACAACCACUUUACAAUAGUACAUCUAUAUCUUUUUGGGGGGAGGGUUAGAAGGCUUACUUAAUCCUAUCCCAGGUAUUCCUUAAAGAGGUGGGGUUUCAGGUGUCUCCGGAAGGUGGUGAUUGACUCCGCUGUCCUGGCGUCGUGAGGGAGCUUGUUCCACCAUUGGGGUGCCAGAGCAGCGAACAGUUUUGACUGGGCUGAGCGGGAACUGUGCUUCCGCAGAGGUAGGGAGGCGAGCAGGCCAGAGGUGGAUGAACGCAGUGCCCUUCUUUGGGUGUAGGGACUGAUCAGAGCCUGAAGGUACUGACGUGCCGUUCCCCUCACAGCUCCGUAGGCAAGCACCAUGGUCUUGUAGCAGGUUCCCCUCUCUCCACUGGGAUUCUCUGCCUCUAACCCUAUUACCGGGGUUGAGUCACUGGCUUAUUGGUGUUCUUCCAUGCCGUCCCUAGGAGGGGUGCGUCACUUGAGUGGGUUGAGUCACUGACGUGGUCUUCCUGUCUGGGUUGGCGCCCCCCCUUGGGUUGUGCCGUGGCAGAGAUCUUUGUGGGCUAUACUCGGCCUUGUCUCAGGAUGGUAAGUUGGUGGUUGAAGGUAUCCCUCUAGUGGUGUGGGGGCUGUGCUUUGGCAAAGUGGGUGGGGUUAUAUCCUUCCUGUUUGGCCCUGUCCGGGGGUAUCAUCGGAUGGGGCCACAGUGUCUCCUGACCCCUCCUGUCUCAGCCUCCAGUAUUUAUGCUGCAGUAGUUUAUGUGUCGGGGGGCUAGGGUCAGUCUGUUAUAUCUGGAGUAUUUCUCCUGUCUUAUACGGGGUCCUGUGUGAUUUUAAGUAUGCUCUCUCUAAUUCUCUCUUUCUUUCUUUCACUCUCUCUGAGGACCUGAGCCCUAGGACCAUGUCUCGGGACUACCUGGCAUGAUGACUCCUUGCUGUCCCCAGUCCACCUGGACGUGCUGCUGCUCCAGUUUCAACUGUUCUGCCUGCGGCUAUGGAACCCGGACCUGUUCACCGGAAGUGCUACCUGUCCCAGACCUGCUGUUUUCAAAUCUCUAGAGACAGCAGGAGCGGUAGAGAUACUCUCAAUGAUCGGCUAUGAAAAGCCAACUGACUCUUGAGGUGCUGACUUGUUGCACCCUGGACAACUACUGUGAUUAUUAUUAUUUGACCAUGCUGGUCAUUUAUGAACAUUUGAACAUCUUGGCCAUGUUCUGUUAUAAUCUCCAUCCGGCACAGCCAGAAGAGGACUGGCCACCCCUCAUAGCCUGGUUCCUCUCUAGGUUUCUUCCUAGGUUUUGGCCUUUCUAGGGAGUUUUUCCUAGCCACCGUGCUUCUACACCUGCAUUGCUUGCUGUUUGGGGUUUUAGGCUGGGUUUCUGUACAGCACAUUGAGAUAUCAGCUGAUGUAAGAAGGGCUAUAUAAAUACAUUUGAUUUGUUGCCAAUUGGAUGGAAACCUAGAUAAUAACUACGUUUCCAUCCACCGUUUUUAUAUGAGUAAAGUCAUACCCUAUGAAAAAAAUCCGAAAGCUGUGAUGGAAACAGGAAGUUUCGGUACAAUUGUAUAAAUGCAGACAGGUCAUUUGUUCCUUUCUACAUGGUGUGAUCUUUUUUUGUUGGUCAAAUUAAUUAUGGGUACAAUGGCUGUGGAAACGCCUUCAUGCGCAAAUAUUGAUCUAAUAACCAUCAUAUCAAACUAAAUUUGGGAGUCACACAAUGUCAACAUGGUGGGUGCUCCUCCCACUACGACUCGGGAAACCAUGCAGUUUAUUAGGCUACAGAUUAAAUAAUUUAUGAUGAAUUUCACAGGGUGGUGAAAGUGCACGGUGAUGUUGAUGCUUCUUUCCAAUAAGUAUUAAAAUACGUCAUCAUGCCCAAAUUUUUAUCCGCAACAAGUCCGUUUCUUGGAAACACCACGGGUGAGAAAAUGUGCAUAUUUUCUUUAUACGAAUUUUAAAAUAUUCACAUGAAAAUCUGUUGUCGAUGGAAACCUCGUUAUUGACCAUAAAUUGUUUCCGGAAUUUCCACCAAAACCCGAGUGCAUUUAACUUUGUGCCACGAGGUGGCAGUAUUGUAUAUAUAUUUACAAAACAUGGUAGGCCAA